rnacentral:rRNA from 1 species
UACGUAGGGUGCGAGCGUUAAUCGGACUUACUGGGCGUAAAGCGUGCGCAGGCGGUUUUGUAAGCCAGAUGUGAAAUCCCCGGGCUCAACCUGUGAACUGCAUUUGGGACUACAAGGCUAGAGUGUGUCAGAGGGGGGUAGAAUUCCACGUGUAGCAGUGAAAUGCGUAGAGAUGUGGAGGAAUACCGAUGGCGAAGGCAGCCCCCUGGGCCGACACUGACGCUGAGGCACGAAAGCGUGGGGAGCAAACAGG